GGGGGCGUCUUGGUUUCGACUGGUUGCUUACAGAUUGGGCGGCACGCCGAGGAUGAUUCGUUGGCCUCGUUAAUCAUCGGAUCACACAAAUAAAUGCAGAUUCUUCAAACGAAUUAGCUCUCGCUGCUUAACCAGCGACGUCUUCCGACCCACGCCUGCUAGGCUGGGAGGCGCAUAAAGCAGGCUAGUUCCUCGAUCGGGCAUCCGGAUCGGGGCGCGAAAUGAAACAGGGUGAUCGAGAGUGUGGAUUUCGUUGGUUGAAGCCUCCCUCUUUAAAUCAAAGAUCCAACUAUGCGUGUAGAUGCCUUCUCCUCGGAGCUACUAGGACAGGGGUUCAACUCCCCUCGCCUCCACUU
rnacentral:tmRNA from 1 species